UACGAAGGGUGCAAACGUUGCUCGGAAUUAUUGGGCGUAAAGCGCACGUAGGCGGCUUGGCGAGUCGGAUGUGAAAUCCCUCGGCUCAACCAAGGAAGUGCAUCCGAAACUGCUGAGCUUGAGUUCUUAAGAGGAUCGCGGAAUUCCCGGUGUAGAGGUGAAAUGCGUAGAUAUCUGGAGGAACACCGGUGGCGAAGGCGGCAUCCUGGACCAACACUGACGCUGAGGAGCGAAAGCCAGGGGAGCAAACGGG
rnacentral:rRNA from 1 species